rnacentral:tRNA from 12 species
GGGGUUUUAGCUCAGUUGGUAGAGCGCCUGUUUUGCACACAGGAGGUCAGCGGUUCGAAUCCGCUAAGCUCCACCA